ACGGAAGGCAGCAGUGGGGAAUAUUGCACAAUGGGCGAAAGCCUGAUGCAGCGACGCCGCGUGAGUGAAGAAGUAUCUCGGUAUGUAAAGCUCUAUCAGCAGGGAAGAAAAUGACGGUACCUGACUAAGAAGCCCCGGCUAACUACGUGCCAGCAGCCGCGGUAAUACGUAGGGGGCAAGCGUUAUCCGGAUUUACUGGGUGUAAAGGGAGCGUAGACGGUUUGGCAAGCCUGAAGUGAAAUGCGGGGGCUCAACUCCUGAACUGCUUUGGAAACUGUCGAACUAGAGUGCAGGAGAGGUAAGUGGAAUUCCUAGUGUAGCGGUGAAAUGCGUAGAUAUUAGGAGGAACACCAGUGGCGAAGGCGGCUUACUGGACUGUAACUGACGUUGAGGCUCGAAAGCGUGGGGAGCAAACAGGAUUAGAUACCCUGGUA
rnacentral:rRNA from 1 species